rnacentral:rRNA from 1 species
CUACGGGGGGCAGCAGUAAGGAAUAUUGGGCAAUGGACGCAAGUCUGACCCAGCCAUGCCGCGUGCAGGAUGACAGCCCUACGGGUUGUAAACUGCUUUUAUACGGGAAAAAUUCCCCGGUCGUGCAUCGGGGUUGAUGGUACCGUAAGAAUAAGCAUCGGCUAACUCCGUGCCAGCAGCCGCGGUAAUACGGAGGAUGCAAGCGUUAUCCGGAUUCAUUGGGUUUAAAGGGUGCGUAGGCGGAAUGAUAAGUCAGUGGUGAAAUCCUACAGCUUAACUGUAGAACUGCCAUUGAUACUGUUGUUCUUGAGUACAUUUGAAGUGGGCGGAAUGUGUCAUGUAGCGGUGAAAUGCAUAGAGAUGACACAGAACACCGAUCGCGAAGGCAGCUCACUAAACUGUAACUGACGCUGAGGCACGAAAGCGUGGGGAUCAAACAGGAUUAGAUACCCGGGUAGUC